AGCGAACGCUGGCGGCAGGCUUAACACAUGCAAGUCGAGCGGGCACUUUCGGGUGUCAGCGGCGGACGGGUGGGUAACGCGUGGGAACGUGCCCUCUGGUUCGGAAUAACUCAGGGAAACUUGAGCUAAUACCGGAUACGCCCUUUUGGGGAAAGGCCUGCUGCCGGAGGAUCGGCCCGCGUCUGAUUAGCUAGUUGGUGAGGUAACGGCACACCAAGGCGACGAUCCGUAGCUGUGCUGAGAGGAUGAUCCGCCACACUGGGACUGAGACACGGCCCAGACUCCUACGGGAGGCAGCAGUGGGGAAUAUUGGACAAUGGGCGCAAGCCUGAUCCAGCCAGGCCGCGUGAGUGAUGAAGGCCUUAGGGUUGUAAAGCUCUUUUAUCCGGGACGAUAAUGACGGUACCGGAGGAAUAAGCCCCGGCUAACUUCGUG
rnacentral:rRNA from 1 species